rnacentral:rRNA from 1 species
AUUGAACGCUGGCGGCAUGCUUUACACAUGCAAGUCGAACGGUAACAGGCCGCAAGGUGCUGACGAGUGGCGAACGGGUGAGUAAUGCAUCGGAACGUGCCCAGUCGUGGGGGAUAACGCAGCGAAAGCUGCGCUAAUACCGCAUACGAUCUAUGGAUGAAAGCGGGGGACCGAAAGGCCUCGCGCGAUUGGAGCGGCCGAUGUCAGAUUAGGUAGUUGGUGGGGUAAAGGCUCACCAAGCCAACGAUCUGUAGCUGGUCUGAGAGGACGACCAGCCACACUGGGACUGAGACACGGCCCAGAAUCCUACGGGAGGCAGCAGUGGGGAAUUUUGGACAAUGGGCGCAAGCCUGAUCCAGCAAUGCCGCGUGCAGGAAGAAGGCCUUCGGGUUGUAAACUGCUUUUGUACGGAACGAAACGGUCCGGGUUAAUACCCUGGGCUAAUGACGGUACCGUAAGAAUAAGCACCGGCUAACUACGUGCCAGCAGCCGCGGUAAGAC